rnacentral:rRNA from 1 species
UACGUAGGGGGCAAGCGUUGUCCGGAUUUAUUGGGCGUAAAGAGCGUGUAGGCGGUCCGGUAAGUCGAGCUGUGAAAGUCAAGGGCUCAACCCUUGGAAUGCCGGUUGAUACUGUCGGGCUAGAGUCCGGAAGAGGCGAGUGGAAUUCCCGGUGUAGAGGUGAAAUUCGUAGAUAAUUCGCAAGAACACCAGUGGCGAAGGCGGCU